GUAGUCCACGCCCUAAACGAUGGAUACUAGGCGUAAGAGGUAUCGACCCCUCUUGUGCCGCAGCUAACGCAUUAAGUAUCCCGCCUGGGGAGUACGGCCGCAAGGUUGAAACUCAAAUGAAUUGACGGGGACCCGCACAAGCGGUGGAGCAUGUGGAUUAAUUCGAUACUAACCGAAGAACCUUACCCAGGUUUGACAUCGAUUGAAAAGCCCAGAGAUGGGCUCCUCCCCCACAAGGGGACAUGAAGACACUUGUUGCAUGGCUGUCGUCAGCUCGUGCCGUGAGGUGUACGGUUAAGUCCGCCAACGAGCGCAACCCUCGUCCUGUGUUACCAGCAAGUAAAGUUGGGGACUCACAGGAGACCGCCGGUGUAAGCCGGAGGAAGGUGAGGAUGACGUCAAGUCAGCAUGGCAGUUACGCCUGGGGCUUCACACAUGCUACAAUGGGCGAAACAGAGGGCAGCAAAACCGCGAGGUGGAGCCAAUCCCAAAAAUACGCCCCCAGUUCAGAUUGCAGUCUGCAACUCGACUGCAUGAAGGCGGAAUCGCUAGUAAACGCAGGUCAGCUAUACUGCGUUGAAUA
rnacentral:rRNA from 1 species